UACGGGGGGGGCAAGCGUUGUUCGGAAUUAUUGGGCGUAAAGAGCUCGUAGGCGGUCAGUCGCGUCUGCUGUGAAAACUCGGGGCUUAACCCCGGGCCUGCAGUGGGUACGGGCUGACUAGAGUGCGGUAGGGGAGACUGGAAUUCCUGGUGUAGCGGUGAAAUGCGCAGAUAUCAGGAGGAACACCGGUGGCGAAGGCGGGUCUCUGGGCCGUAACUGACGCUGAGGAGCGAAAGCCAGGGGAGCAAACGGG
rnacentral:rRNA from 1 species